GCCAGGCACGGUGGCUCAUGCCUGUAAUCCCAGCACUUUGGGAGGCCGAGGUGGGAGGAUCACCUGAGGUCAGGAGUUCAAGACCAGCCUGACCAACAUGGUGAAACCCCAUCUCUA
rnacentral:SRP_RNA from 1 species